rnacentral:rRNA from 1 species
UAUGUGAUCGUCUCUCGCAUAUCAAUAAGCGGAGGAAAAGAAACUAACAAGGAUUCCCCUAGUAACGGCGAGUGAAGCGGGAAGAGCUCAAAUUUGAAAUCUUAAAGGGUUUCCCUUUACGAAUUGUAGUUUAAAGAAGUGUUUUCUGUUGAGGUUUUGGUAAAAGUUCUUUGGAAUAGGACAUCAUAGAGGGUGAGAAUCCCGUAUUUGACCUUUACUUUCAACUUUGUGAUACACUUUCAAAGAGUCGGAUUGUUUGGGAAUGCAGUCCAAAAUGGGUGGUAAAUUUCAUCUAAAGCUAAAUAUUGGCGAGAGACCGAUAGCGAACAAGUACCGUGAGGGAAAGAUGAAAAGAACUUUGAAAAGAGAGUUAAACAGUACGUGAAAUUGUCAAAAGGGAAGCGUUUGACACCAGUGUUGUUUUUCUGAAAAUCAAUUAAAGAACUGUUUAUGCUAAGUUGUUUAGACUUUAUCAGCUAACUGUUUAGUUUUGAGCUUUUCUUUAAUGCACUUUUCAGUUAACAAGUCAACAUCAAUUUCUUUUGCUGUAAAAAAGCUUGAGGAAGGUGGCUUGAGAUUCGUCUUAAGUGUUUAUAGCCUCUUGCCUAUGCAGUCGGAGAGAUUGAGGUCUGCAGCGUAGAUCCUUCGGGGCUAAAUGCAUUUGUGCUAAGUUAUAGCAUUUUAUAGACAACUUGUUGACUAUGAUUUGUCUUGUAGCUUACUCGCUUAUGUUAUUUUACCUACGCUUAGGAUGUUGAACGCGCACAGAGUCU